rnacentral:rRNA from 1 species
AUGAACGCUGGCGGCGUGCCUAAUACAUGCAAGUCGAGCGAACAGACGAGGAGCUUGCUCCUCUGACGUUAGCGGCGGACGGGUGAGUAACACGUGGAUAACCUACCUAUAAGACUGGGAUAACUUCGGGAAACCGGAGCUAAUACCGGAUAAUAUAUUGAACCGCAUGGUUCAAUAGUGAAAGACGGUUUUGCUGUCACUUAUAGAUGGAUCCGCGCCGCAUUAGCUAGUUGGUAAGGUAACGGCUUACCAAGGCGACGAUGCGUAGCCGACCUGAGAGGGUGAUCGGCCACACUGGAACUGAGACACGGUCCAGACUCCUACGGGAGGCAGCAGUAGGGAAUCUUCCGCAAUGGGCGAAAGCCUGACGGAGCAACGCCGCGUGAGUGAUGAAGGUCUUCGGAUCGUAAAACUCUGUUAUUAGGGAAGAACAAAUGUGUAAGUAACUAUGCACGUCUUGACGGUACCUAAUCAGAAAUCCACGGCUAACUACGUG